rnacentral:rRNA from 1 species
GACGAACGCUGGCGGCGUGCUUAACACAUGCAAGUCGAACGAAGUGGCGAACGGGUGAGUAACCCGUAAUCAACCUGCCCUUCAGAGGGGGACAACAGUAGGAAACGACUGCUAAUACCGCAUACUGAAGGAGGGGAUUGCGUUUGAGUUGCUCGUUGGAGGGGUAACGGCCCACCAAGGCGAGGAUCAGUAGCCGGGCCGAGAGGAGUAACGGCACACAUGGGAAUUAGACCCGGCCCAGACUCGGACGGGAGGGAGCAGUGGGGAAUCUUCCGCAAUGGACGAAAGGCUGAAUGAGCACAGCCGCGUGAGGGAUGACGGCCUUCGGGUUUUAAAGCUCUGUUAAGCGGGACGCGGUACCGGAAUAGAAAGCCACGGCUAACUACGUGCCAGCAGCCGCAGUAAUUC